rnacentral:rRNA from 1 species
CAGGCCUAACACAUGCAAGUCGAACGGUAACAGGAAACAGCUUGCUGUUUCGCUGACGAGUGGCGGACGGGUGAGUAAUGUCUGGGAAACUGCCUGAUGGAGGGGGAUAACUACUGGAAACGGUAGCUAAUACCGCAUAACGUCGCAAGACCAAAGAGGGGGACCUUCGGGCCUCUUGCCAUCGGAUGUGCCCAGAUGGGAUUAGCUAGUAGGUGGGGUAACGGCUCACCUAGGCGACGAUGCGUAGCCGACCUGAGAGGAUGACCAGCCACACUGGAACUGAGACACGGUCCAGACUCCUACGGGAGGCAGCAGUGGGGAAUAUUGCACAAUGGGCGCAAGCCUGAUGCAGCCAUGCCGCGUGUAUGAAGAUGGCCUUCGGGUUGUAAAGUACUUUCAGCGGGGAGGAAGGGAGUAAAGUUAAUACCUUUGCUCAUUGACGUUACCCGCAGAAGAAGCACCGGCUAACUCCGUGCCAGCAGCCGCGGUAAUACGGAGGGUGCAAGCGUUAAUCGGAAUUACUGGGCGUAAAGCGCACGCAGGCGGUUUGUUAAGUCAGAUGUGAAAUCCCCGGGCUCAACCUGGGAACUGCAUCUGAUACUGGCAAGCUUGAGUCUCGUAGAGGGGGGUAGAAUUCCAGGUGUAGCGGUGAAAUGCGUAGAGAUCUGGAGGAAUACCGGUGGCGAAGGCGGCCCCCUGGACGAAGACUGACGCUCAGGUGCGAAAGCGUGGGGAGCAAACAGGAUUAGAUACCCUAGUAGUCCACGCCGUAAACGAUGUCGACUUGGAGGUUGUGCCCUUGAGGCGUGGCUUCCGGAGCUAACGCGUUAAGUCGACCGCCUGGGAGUACGGCCGCAAGGUUAAAACUCAAAUGAAUUGACGGGGGCCCGCACAAGCGGUGGAGCAUGUGGUUUAAUUCGAUGCAACGCGAAGAACCUUACCUGGUCUUGACAUCCACAGAACUUUCCAGAGAUGGAUUGGUGCCUUCGGGAACUGUGAGACAGGUGCUGCAUGGCUGUCGUCAGCUCGUGUUGUGAAAUGUUGGGUUAAGUCCCGCAACGAGCGCAACCCUUAUCCUUUGUUGCCAGCGGUCCGGCCGGGAACUCAAAGGAGACUGCCAGUGAUAAACUGGAGGAAGGUGGGGAUGACGUCAAGUCACCAUGGCCCUUACGACCAGGGCUACACACGUGCUACAAUGGCGCAUACAAAGAGAAGCGACCUCGCGAGAGCAAGCGGACCUCAUAAAGUGCGUCGUAGUCCGGAUUGGAGUCUGCAACUCGACUCCAUGAAGUCGGAAUCGCUAGUAAUCGUGGAUCAGAAUGCCACGGUGAAUACGUUCCCGGGCCUUGUACACUCCGCCC